CCUACGUGAGGCAGCAGUAGGGAAUAUUGCACAAUGGGGGAAACCCUGACGCAGCGACGCCGCGUGAAGGAAGAAGUAUUUCGGUAUGUAAACUUCUAUCAGCAGGGAAGAAAAUGAUGGUACCUGACUAAGAAGCACCGGCUAACUACGUGCCAGCAGCCGCGGUACUACGUAGGGGGCAAGCGUUAUCCGGAUUUAUUGGGUGUAAAGGGGACAUAAGCGGCGAUGCAAGUCAGAAGUGAAAGGCCGGGGGUCAAAUCAGGGACUGCUUUUGAAACUGUGUUGCUAGAUUGCAAGAGAGGAAAGUGGAAUGCCAAGUGUAGCGGUGAAAUGCGUAGAUAUUAGGAGGAACACCAGUGGCGAAGGCGGCUUACUGGACUGUAAAUGACGCUGAGGCUCGAAAGCGUGGGGAGCAAACAGGAUUAGAUACCCUUGUAGUC
rnacentral:rRNA from 1 species